rnacentral:lncRNA from 1 species
AUGUCAGCUCACCAUCUGAUACAGAGCAACAUCAGAGAAACAGGCAGCUCUGCCUGGAGGCUGCCACCCCCUUACAGACACCUUGAAAGCAGCAAUGGUGAGAUCCAGGCGAUAUUGGGAGCAACGCAGCAGGGGAUGCUCCCAGCGGAGGCCGAGAGUCAGAGGCAGGAGACGAAAAAGGAGGCAAGGGAGAAUGAGGAGAAGGGCAGGAGGGAGCAAGAAGUACCAUUACAGGAGGUUGAGCACCACUGCCCUGGAGCAGUAGGGACCUGCAGGUGUGGAUUUCCUGCCGGGAGGGUCUGUGUCACACCCCACCAAGGUCACAGGGAGAUCUCUGUCACCUCACAAACCUUUGACAUCACUGGUGGAGCCUCUGAAGGCUUCCAAGGCUUUCUGCAUGUCCUUCCUCAAUGCUUCCUCUCCAGAAGGGGUGAUCCUCUGCUCUCAGGGCAAGGUUUACCUUGGGUGGCAUCACUACUGACAACAGGCUGGCUCUGCACCUUUGCAUUUUCCCACUGCUCUCAUUUUUGA